CAUAAAAACAACACACAGCUUGUUAAGAAAACAAAUUCACAGUCCAGAUCUAAGAGUUGAUCUGAGAGCAGUUCAGUCUUUUGGAAUAACUGGCAUGAUUUCUGGAUGAUGUCAUCAAA